UGAGGGAUAUUGCGCAAUGGGGGAAACCCUGACGCAGCGACGCCGCGUGGGUGAUGAAGGCCUUCGGGUCGUAAAACCCUUUUGCCACUGACGAGGAAGGACGGUAGGUGGCGAAUAAGCCUCGGCUAACUACGUGCCAGCAGCCGCGGUAAAACGUAGGAGGCAAGCGUUAUCCGGAGUUACUGGGCGUAAAGCGCGCGCAGGCGGUUCGUUAAGUGGGGCGUGAAAGCCCCGCGCUAAACGCGGGGAGGACGAACCAUACUGAUGGACUGGAGUGGAGCAGAGGGACAUGGAAUGCCGGGUGUAGCGGUGAAACGUGCAGAUAGCCGGAGGAACAACAGAGGUGAAAACGGUGUCCUGGGCUCACACUGACGCUGAGGCGCGAAAGCGGGGGGAGCGAACG
rnacentral:rRNA from 1 species